rnacentral:tRNA from 1 species
GCAGAUGUAGCUCAGUGGUAGAGUGCAUGCUUAGUGAGUAGGAGGUCCUGGGUUCAAUCCCCAGUAUCUCCA